GGCGAUAUAUUUUCAUUUACAGUGAAAAAAACCUACGGGCGUGCGUAUAUUAAUAAUAGAUUUAA
rnacentral:tRNA from 1 species